UGAUGGAUAGGUGGGGAUUGUGUAAUUUGUGCAAUUUAGGUACCGUUCCAAAGAUCAUUGUGACAGUUUUGUCAGUGUUCAGGAAGAGUUUGUUUUUUGCGAUCCACUUUUCUACCUCUGUAAACUGGUCUUGGAGCAAAGCCUCAAGUUGCGGUAGAUUGGUUUGCUCGCAUAGAUUACCGUGUCAUCUGCGUACAUGUGUACAUUUGAGGAUUGGCAGACAUAAGGCAGAUCAUUUAUAAAUAAUGUAAAUAGUAGGGGGCCGAGAAUGGAACCCUGGGGAACACCACACGUGACCGGGAGAGGGAGGGAGUCACUGUCAGAAAUGGACACAUAUUGCGAGCGAUCCGAUACAUACGAUUGAAACCAGUUUAAAGAAUGAUCACCAAUACCUGAGUUUUCGAGUUUGUGCAGUAGAAUGUCGUAGUCUACUGUGUCAAAGGCCUUAGCAAAAUCAAGGAAAAUAGCUCCAGUUAGGGCUCCUUGUUCCAUGCCAGUUUGGAUGUCAUUGCAAACUUUUAGGAGGGCAGUUGUAGUGGAGUGAUUCUGGCGAAAGCCCGAUUGAUCAGGG